rnacentral:rRNA from 1 species
AUUGAACGCUGGCGGCAGGCCUAACACAUGCAAGUCGAGCGAGCGGCGGACGGGUGAGUAAUGUAUGGGGACUGCCCGAUAGAGGGGGAUAACUACUGGAAACGGUAGCUAAUACCGCAUACUAUCGGAUAACCCAUAUGGGAUUAGCUAGUUGGUGAGGUAAUGGCUCACCUAGGCGACGAUCCCUAGCUGGUCUGAGAGGAUGAUCAGCAACACUGGGACUGAGACACUGCCCAGACUCCUACGGAGGCAGCAGUGGGGAAUAUUGCACAAUGGGCGAAAGCCUGAUUGAGCCAUGCCGCGUGUAUGAAGAAGGCCCUAGGGUUGUAAAGUACUUUCAGUCGGGAGGCGUUACCGAAAGAAGAAGCACCGGCUAACUCCGUGCCAGCCGCCGCGGUAAUAC